CUGAGAAAUCAAAUGCUCAAAAGGCACCAGAUCCCAUCGGAUCUUGGAAGCUUAAGCAAGGUCAGCCCUUUUUAGUCCUGGAAUAGGAGGCUGCCUACAAAUAUGUGGGGACAUAGGUUGUAUUUCAGA
rnacentral:rRNA from 11 species